rnacentral:siRNA from 1 species
UCCGUUGUAGUCUAGCUGG